rnacentral:rRNA from 1 species
GAUGAACGCUAGCGAUAGGCUUAACACAUGCAAGUCGAGGGGCAGCGAGGGGAGCAAUACCUGUCGGCGACCGGCGCACGGGUGAGUAACGCGUAUGUAACCUGCCCGCAACAGGGGGAUAACCCGGCGAAAGUCGGACUAAUACCGCAUAAAACAGGGGUCCCGCAUGGGAAUAUUUGUUAAAGAUUUAUCGGUUGCGGGUGGGCAUGCGUACCAUUAGGUAGUUGGUGAGGUAACGGCUCACCAGGCCUUCGAUGUUUAGGGGUUCUGAGAGUAAGGUCCCCCACACUGGGACUGGGCCACGGACCAGACUCCUACGGGAGGGAGCAGUGAGGAAUACUGGUCAAUGGGCGAGAGCCUGAACCAGCCAAGUCGCGUGAAGGAUGACUGCCCUAUGGGUUGUAACCUUCUUUUAGAAGGGAAUAAAAUGAGAUAAGUGUAUUUUAUUGCAUGUACCUUGGGAAUAAGCAUCGGCUAACUACGUG